rnacentral:rRNA from 1 species
AGAGUUUGAUCAUGGCUCAGAUUGAACGCUGGCGGCAGGCCUAACACAUGCAAGUCGAGCGGUAGAGAGGUGCUUGCACCUCUUGAGAGCGGCGGACGGGUGAGUAAUACCUAGGAAUCUGCCUGAUAGUGGGGGAUAACGUUCGGAAACGGACGCUAAUACCGCAUACGUCCUACGGGAGAAAGCAGGGGACCUUCGGGCCUUGCGCUGUCAGAUGAGCCUAGGUCGGAUUAGCUAGUUGGUGAGGUAAUGGCUCACCAAGGCUACGAUCCGUAACUGGUCUGAGAGGAUGAUCAGUCACACUGGAACUGAGACACGGUCCAGACUCCUACGGGAGGCAGCAGUGGGGAAUAUUGGACAAUGGGCGAAAGCCUGAUCCAGCCAUGCCGCGUGUGUGAAGAAGGUCUUCGGAUUGUAAAGCACUUUAAGUUGGGAGGAAGGGCAUUAACCUAAUACGUUAGUGUUUUGACGUUACCGACAGAAUAAGCACCGGCUAACUCUGUGCCAGCAGCCGCGGUAAUACAGAGGGUGCAAGCGUUAAUCGGAAUUACUGGGCGUAAAGCGCGCGUAGGUGGUUUGUUAAGUUGAAUGUGAAAUCCCCGGGCUCAACCUGGGAACUGCAUCCAAAACUGGCAAGCUAGAGUAUGGUAGAGGGUAGUGGAAUUUCCUGUGUAGCGGUGAAAUGCGUAGAUAUAGGAAGGAACACCAGUGGCGAAGGCGACUACCUGGACUGAUACUGACACUGAGGUGCGAAAGCGUGGGGAGCAAACAGGAUUAGAUACCCUGGUAGUCCACGCCGUAAACGAUGUCAACUAG